GCUUAGCAAAGGGACAUGUUUAUUUUUGUUAACAUUAGCAUUUAGUGCUUAUCUGUUGUUGACACGGUGAAAGAAUGCAUAUGUGAAUCUUGGCUUUCCGUAUGGAGAAGACUUUUAAUGUAGAUAUAAAAGAGAAAGUAGGCAGAGCGAAGAGUUCAGGCUGUCCAUGGCCAGGAGACUGAAUUGGACCAUGAGAGGAGAGAGGUGGGGGCAAACAGACCAGGAAGAGCCACCAAGAUCCAGUUCUUCCUUUCUUAAGUUCACAAUCAAGAAGAGUGUUCCAGUUUGGCUCUCUCACUCUGGAGUAUUUCAGAGGACAAACCUAGUGAGCUCAGAAGAGCCCGCAGAUGACACCUAUUCUGGUAGUUUGGAAGCUGUUCCCUGUUCUAUUUAUAUAUUCAAAGUCAAAACAAUGAGGUGAAAUCAUUGCCUACGCCACAGUGGUGGUCAGGAACUGGGAGUCAUCUGGGAAGAAGAAAUCUUAAUUGAAGGUUUGCCUCCAUUGCAUUUUCCAGUAGGUAA